rnacentral:rRNA from 1 species
GUAAUACGUAGGGCGCAAGCGUUAUCCGGAAUUAUUGGGCGUAAAGAGCUCGUAGGCGGUUUGUCGCGUCUGCUGUGAAAGACCGGGGCUCAACUCCGGUUCUGCAGUGGGUACGGGCAGACUAGAGUGAUGUAGGGGAGACUGGAAUUCCUGGUGUAGCGGUGAAAUGCGCAGAUAUCAGGAGGAACACCGAUGGCGAAGGCAGGUCUCUGGGCAUUAACUGACGCUGAGGAGCGAAAGCAUGGGGAGCGAACAGGAUUAGAUACCCUGGUAGUCCAUGCCGUAAACGUUGGGCACUAGGUGUGGGGGACAUUCCACGUUUUCCGCGCCGUAGCUAACGCAUUAAGUGCCCCGCCUGGGGAGUACGGCCGCAAGGCUAAAACUCAAAGGAAUUGACGGGGGCCCGCACAAGCGGCGGAGCAUGCGGAUUAAUUCGAUGCAACGCGAAGAACCUUACCAAGGCUUGACAUGAACCGGUAAUACCUGGAAACAGGUGCCCCGCUUGCGGUCGGUUUACAGGUGGUGCAUGGUUGUCGUCAGCUCGUGUCGUGAGAUGUUGGGUUAAGUCCCGCAACGAGCGCAACCCUCGUUCUAUGUUGCCAGCGCGUUAUGGCGGGGACUCAUAGGAGACUGCCGGGGUCAACUCGGAGGAAGGUGGGGACGACGUCAAAUCAUCAUGCCCCUUAUGUCUUGGGCUUCACGCAUGCUACAAUGGCCGGUACAAAGGGUUGCGAUACUGUGAGGUGGAGCUAAUCCCAAAAAGCCGGUCUCAGUUCGGAUUGGGGUCUGCAACUCGACCCCAUGAAGUCGGAGUCGCUAGUAAUCGCAGAUCAGCAACGCUGCGGUGAAUACGUUCCCGGGCCUUGUACACACCGCCCGUCAAGUCACGAAAGUUGGUAACACCCGAAGCCGGU